GAGGGAAAAGCUCAAAUUUAAAAUCUGGCAGUGUUUCACUGUCCGAGUUGUAACCUAGAGAAGUGUAACCUGCGCUGGACCAUGUACAAGUCUCCUGGAAUGGAGUAUCACAGAGGGUGAGAAUCCCGUCUUUGACAUGGACUACCAGUGCAUUGUGGUUGUGCUCUCAACGAGUCGAGUUGUUUGGGAAUGCAGCUCUAAAUGGGUGGUAAAUUCCAUCUAAAGCUAAAUAUUGGCGAGAGACCGAUAGCGAACAAGUACCGUGAGGGAAAGAUGAAAAGAACUUUGGAAAGAGAGUUAAACAGUAUGUGAAAUUGUUGAAAGGGAAACGUUUGAAGUCAGUCAUGUUGGCUAGGGAUCAGCCUGACAAAUUGUUGGGUGUACUUCCUGGUUGACAGGCCAACAUCAGUUUUGACUGCCAGAAAAAGGUGAAGGGAAUGUGGCACCUUUUGGUGUGUUAUAGCCCUUUGUCGUAUGUGGUGGUUGGGACUGAGGAAAGCAGUGUGCCAAAAGGCAGGGCUUCGACCACAUUCACACUGAGGAUGUUGGCAUAAUGGCUUUAAGCGACCCGUCUUGAAACACGGACCAAGGAGUCUAACAUGCAUGCGAGUGUUUGGGUGGAAAACCCUUACGCGUAAUGAAAGUGAAAGUUGA
rnacentral:rRNA from 1 species